rnacentral:lncRNA from 1 species
UUCACAUUCGACAAUGGUAUCAAUUUAUAUUCUCACUCACACAGCCAAUAACCAAACUCAUCACUCUCACACACCUAUUUACACAAUUGAGAUGCAUACUCAUUCCACCCAUAAUGGGUAUAUAUAACAAUAAACUACUUACAUAAAAUCAUUUGAGCAACCAAUCACAUGCAUACAUGUAUGCUCAACAUAUACAGUUUACAUCGUAUUAAACAUACACCCAACGUACUACAUAAGCAACCGAAAUCCACAUCUACACAGAUUGCUCACUUAAAUUUAUAUUGGUACCAUUAUAUCUAACCAUAAACCUAUUCUAAUUAUGUACAUAUCCUUACUUUCUUACA